CCUGGACGAGACUUGCACCUCUACGUGGUGUUCAGGACUAGUAGCAUUUACUGCGAAGCCAAGCAAGU
rnacentral:ribozyme from 1 species